GGAUAACGCUGGCGGUAUGCCUUACAGCAUCGACAAGUCGUACGAGAGUUUCACACAAGUGGCGGACGGGUGAGUACACGUAAGAAUUUGCCUUUAGGAGGGGGAUAACAACUGGAAACGGUUGCUAAUACCCCAUAUGCUUUCGAGUGAAAUGGAUUUCCGCCUAAAGAGAAGCUUGCGGCUGAUUAGCUUGUUGGUGAGGUAAUGGCUCACCAAGGCGACGAUCAGUAUCUGGUUUGAGAGGACGAUCAGACACACUGGAACUGAGACACGGUCCAGACUCCUACGGGAGGCAGCAGUGGGGAAUUUUCCGCAAUGGGCGAAAGCCUGACGGAGCAAUACCGCGUGAGGGAUGACGGCCUAUGGGUUGUAAACCUCUUUUUUCAGGGAGGAAUCAAUGACGUGUACCUGAAGAAUAAGCAUCGGCUAACUCCGUGCCAGCAGCCGCGGUAAGACGGAGGAUGCAAGUGUUAUCCGGAAUCACUGGGCGUAAAGCGUCUGUAAGUCGGUUUAAUAAGUCAAACUGUUAAAACUCUUGAAGGCUCAAACUCAAAAAAUCCGAAGUCGAAAACUUAUUCAGAACUAGAAGUAUAAGUAAGGGGGUAACAGGGAAUUUCCAGUGGAGCGGUUAAACAUGCGUUAGAUAUUUGGGGAAAGGGAAACCACCCGAAUGGGCGGAAAACGGCACCCUUUUUACACUUGGGGGGCUUAAUUACAAUCAACACACGUCAACCAACGAACAGAACAACGCUAAGGGGUUGGCAACAAAUUGCGGGACUUCAAAAACUUCCCCCCCAAAGUAUAGUACUUUAAGAAUGCUUAAGACAAAGGGGAAUUCCCUAAGAAUGUUUUUGGAUAAUGAAUUGUACCCGUGUUGACGUUCUCAAGAGCUUAACACCCGUUAAACAUAUAUCCACGCCUGGGAACUAUUGCACUACAAAAUUAAACUCCACAUUA
rnacentral:rRNA from 1 species